ensembl:lncRNA
AGGGAACAGGGGACACAGCCUUUUUAGGGGGGUGAAGUGGCUUUAUGGGAAUAACAUGUAAGAGUCACAUACCACUAUUAGACUGAACGAUAAAUGUUGAAGUCAUAGCAACAGAUUGGCUACGUGAAGCGACGACCUCUGGAAGCUGAAAAAGUCAACGGUAGUCAGGGAAACCAAUUCAGCUGCGCAAUUGAGAACAGUCUUCUUCGCUUAAACCAAAUCCCUCGAAAAUCAGAGAGGUGCCCUAUAACGUUAUCGACGCAGCUGUUGUUCGGGGUUAACUGCCUUACUCAAGGGGAGAACGGCAGAUUUACCACCAUGCAGGCUCGGGUGUUCAAGCCAGCGACCUUUCGAUGACUGACCUAACGCGCUUUACCGCUAAACUACCUGCCGACUGAAUCAAACAGGUGAGCUUGCCUUGCUGUGUUUCAUGGUGCCUAGGAGACUUCUACCAUGUACGGGAGGAGCCUUGGCCGGUAAUUAGCGCGGAGUGGUGAUGACGGUAAUGAAGCAGUGUCCGGUGUCACCGUGGCUUGGUGCGUGACAGACCGGGAAGAACACCGUCCUCUCGCUCAGCACUCUGGUUUUGUUGCUGCGCCGCUUUCAUGUAGAAACACCGCCAUCUGCUGGCCGAAAACAGAAAACACCAAACUUUCUUUACAAUGUGACCAAAGUCCCCCAUAAAAUAUUUUGAAGUUCACAAAACAGGCUUUAGCUGCAACACAAGAUUGACCACAUCCCAGAUUUCCCACAAGGGCCUAAUUUCCCAAGCCCACAGAGAGCACCAUCAACACAGACUUUUAAGUCUUUCAGUCAAAUAAAUCUUAAGUUAAGGUGAAAUAUAUAUAUAAAUAUAAAUAUAUAUUUUAAGUCUUUCAGUCAAAGAGGAUGAUGGACGGAAGGGUUUUGACGUAACGUUGAGGAUGGACAGGGUUUGGUGUAACUCUGAGGAGGGAAGGGGUUUGGUGUAACUCUGAGGAGGGAAGGGGUUUGGUGUAACACUGAGGAGGGAAGGGUUUUGGUGUAACUCUGAGGAGGGAAGGGUUUUGGUGUAACUCUGAGGAGCGAAGGGGUUUGGUGUAACUCUGAGGAGGGAAGGGGAGUGGUUUGGUGUAACACUGAGGAAGUAAGGGGUUUGGUGUAACACUGAGGAGGGAAGGGGUUUGGUAUAACUCUGAGGAGGGAGGGAAAGGGGUUUGGUGUAACACUGAGGAGGGAAGGGGUUUGGUG